UCACGAAAGUGGAGGGUAAGAUCUACACUAAAUGUUUCAAAUCAGUGAGAUUCUUAUUCCUCCGCUUACCUGU
rfam:Onchocerca flexuosa genome assembly, scaffold: OFLC_contig0000736